AUUGAACGCUGGCGGCAUGCCUUACACAUGCAAGUCGAACGGUAACGGGCCUUCGGGUGCCGACGAGUGGCGAACGGGUGAGUAAUGCAUCGGAACGUACCUUUCAGUGGGGGAUAACGUAGCGAAAGUUACGCUAAUACCGCAUAUUCUGUGAGCAGGAAAGCAGGGGAUCGCAAGACCUUGCGCUGAUUGAGCGGCCGAUUUCAGAUUAGCUAGUUGGUGAGGUAAAGGCUCACCAAGGCGACGAUCGGUAGCGGGUCUGAGAGGAUGAUCCGCCACACUGGAACUGAGACACGGUCCAGACUCCUACGGGAGGCAGCAGUGGGGAAUUUUGGACAAUGGGGGCAACCCUGAUCCAGCCAUGCCGCGUGAGUGAAGAAGGCCUUCGGGUUGUAAAGCUCUUUCGGUCGGGAAGAAAUCGCAUGGGUUAAUACCCUGUGCGGAUGACGGUACCGGCAUAAGAAGCACCGGCUAACUACGUGCCAGCCGCCGCGGUAACAC
rnacentral:rRNA from 1 species